UACGAAGGGGGGCUAGCGUUGCUCGGAAUGACUGGGCGUAAAGGGCGCGUAGGCGGAUUGUACAGUCAGGCGUGAAAUCCCCCGGGCUUAACCUGGGAAUGGCAUUUUGGGGACUGCAAGGCUCGAGUGCGGCAGAGGAGACUGGAAUUCCUGGUGUAGCAGUGAAAUGCGUAGAGAUCCGGAGGAACCCCAGAGGCGAAGGCGGCGCCUGGCUCGCAACUGACGCUCAGACACGACAGCAUGGGGAGCGGAACGGGA
rnacentral:rRNA from 1 species